AAAAUAAAAGAAAAGAAGUUGAAUGAGCAAAAAGAAUCUUGUCCAAGAAUAAUGAGUAAUUUUCCGGUCAUCGGAGAUUUAUAUUAUCUUUUGGAAGUAGGUAACUUUUUUUUUAUUAAAUGGGUUUGAUAUUUACAAUUAAUUUGUAAAACUUGUGAAUUUCAGUAAAAAAUAGAAUUGUGAAAAACACUAUGUGUUCGAAAAGAAUUUCAUGCUUCCUCUUUUCGAGAAAUCUGAAGGUUUCCAACAACAAUUGCUGGAGUUAUUGUAGUCCUAUUAGGCAAAAAAAUGACAAAUAUGAAGGCUUUCGAACCUUUCACAUGCCGGCAGAGGUUCGCCUGAACAAUAGAAAAUACUAAAACACAUAAAAAGAAAGAAAAGAGGAAGAAUGGAAGAAAGUCAGGGAAAAGUAUCUGACCGGCGUUUUGUCCAUGGGUGCCGGCGUGGUCAAAUUUUUUUAGCGAGAUCUGAUGGUCUCACGAUGGCUGAUCUCUCGAAGCUUUAGUAGUGAUGAAGGAGGAACAAAAGGGGUUGGCCGGUAGGGUGAGGUCUGUCGUGGUUGAGCUUCAUUGAAUUCGCUAAUUAAAAAUGUCUUAGGUAGUUGACAGGUCUGGCCGGCGGUGGGAUAGAGAAAGAGUCAAGGUCGCAAAAAGAAGACAAAGUGGGACCCAUUUACUUUUUCUCUUCAACUUUUGAUUGUUUACGAG
rnacentral:lncRNA from 1 species